ACACUGACGCUCGCACGAAAGCGUGAGCAAACAGGAGAUUAGAUACCCUGGUAGUCCACGCCCUACAAACGAUGUCAACUAGCUGUUGGGGCCUCGGGCUCCUGGUAGCGCAGCUAACGCGUGAAGUUGACCGCCUGGGGAGUACGGUCGCAAGAUUAAAACUCAAAGGAAUUGACGGGACCCGCACAAGCGGUGGAUGAUGUGGAUUAAUCUGAUGCAACGCGAAAAACCUUACCUACCCUUGACAUGUCUGGAAUCCCGAAGAGAUUUGGGAGUGCUCAAAAGAGAACCGGAACACAGGUGCUGCAUGGCUGUCGUCAGCUCGUGUCGUGAGAUGUUGGGUUAAGUCCCAACGAGCGCAACCCUUGUCAUUAGUUGCUACGAAAGGGCACUCUAAUGAGACUGCCGGUGACAAACCGAGGGAAGGUGGGGAUGACGUCAAGUCCUCAUGGCCCUUAUGGGUAGGGCUUCACACGUCAUACAAUGGUCGGGACAGAGGGUCGCCAACCCGCGAGGGGGAGCCAAUCCCAGAAACCCGAUCGUAGUCCGGAUCGCAGUCUGCAACUCGACUGCGUGAAGUCGGAAUCGCUAGUAAUCGCGGAUCAGCAUGUCGCGGUGAAUACGUUCCCGGGUCUUGUACACACCGCCCGUCACACCAUGGGAGGGGUUUUACCAGAAGUAGUUAGCCUAACCGUAAGGAGGGCGAUUACCACGUGCAGGAUUCAUGACUGGGUGAAGUCGUAACAAGGUAA
rnacentral:misc_RNA from 1 species